rnacentral:rRNA from 1 species
UACAGAGGGGGCAAGCGUUGUUCGGAAUUACUGGGCGUAAAGCGCGUGUAGGCGGCCAUCUAAGUCGGGCGUGAAAUCCCACGGCUCAACCGUGGAAGUGCACUCGAAACUGGAUGGCUAGAGUCCUGGAGAGGAAGGUGGAAUGCUUGGUGUAGAGGUGAAAUUCGUAGAUAUCAAGCGGAACACCGGUGGCGAAGGCGGCCUUCUGGACAGUGACUGACGCUGAGACGGCGAAAGCGUGGGGAGCAACAGG